UCCGGUGUAGUCGAGUGGUACAACGCCUGACUGUUAAUCAGGAUUUCGCAGGUUCGAACCCUGCCGCCGGAG
rnacentral:tRNA from 1 species